UGACAUUUAAUCCUAUAGUCAAGACACCACAAGCACCUGCACUAUAUCGGUUAUAGCGUUGAUAAGCCCCAUUAUGUGUGAGUGUCGAGUGUUGUACUUCCUGAUGGUGUUGCUGGUCGCCCUGGAAUCAUUAUCAGCAUUGAUUGCACCGACAAGCGACGUGAACCCCAUUUGCAACACGACGACGGAGACGCUAAUACCCCACCCCGCAAAGUGUGCCCAGUACUACAAUUGUAGCGCCCCAGCCAUGAAAUUUAACCGCAUCAUCUUGGGGAAGAACCUACAGGAAUGUCCCCACCCGCAGCUGUACAACCCUGGAACACAGAGAUGUGAGCACUACAGCAUGGUCACGUGAGGCAGCAGAAU